AUUGAACGCUGGCGGAAUGCUUUACACAUGCAAGUCGAGCGGCAGCACGGGGGUAACCCUGGUGGCGAGCGGCGAACGGGUGAGUAAUACAUCGGAACAUGCCCAGUCGUGGGGGAUAACACUUCGAAAGAAGUGCUAAUACCGCAUACGUCCUGAGGGAGAAAGCGGGGGAUCGCAAGACCUCGCGCGAUUGGAGUGGCCGAUGUCAGAUUAGCUAGUUGGUGGGGUAAAGGCCUACCAAGGCAACGAUCUGUAGCUGGUCUGAGAGGAUGAUCAGCCACACUGGGACUGAGACACGGCCCAGACUCCUACGGGAGGCAGCAGUGGGGAAUUUUGGACAAUGGGGGCAACCCUGAUCCAGCCAUGCCGCGUGAGUGAAGAAGGCCUUCGGGUUGUAAAGCUCUUUCGGCAGGAACGAAACGGUGAGCUCUAACAUAGCUUGCCAAUGACGGUACCUGAAGAAGAAGCACCGGCUAACUACGUG
rnacentral:rRNA from 1 species